CCUGCUCCCAACGGUUGGUAGUUGGUAGAGCAACGCACUAGUAACGCGGAGGUCAUGGGUUCAAAUCCCGUUGAAGAAAGA